GUGGUGGAAAAUUGUUUGCAGAAGUUGCAGGCCACCAUUGGGCCUUUCGGCACUUAAGAAUGAGGCUCCUUUGUAUUCAGUGAGAAAGAAGAAAUUCAGCUGAACACACCCAGGAAAAAGCUCCACAGUGAGAUGAGUCCCUACAGAGACAGAGGCAACACUUUGGUCACCUUUGAUCGCACUGAGCAGUGCUUGACCCUACAUGGAUUUACCUGGAAAUUGGAAUCUACCCAACAGGGUACGUGUUUAUGUUGUCAGACAAGGACUAUCCAGGAAUAGCUGUCCAUUUUCAGAGCAGUUUUCAAGGCUUGAUACAUCCUGUGGAAUCUGUCUGGCCCAUCACUCAGACUGUGGACAUGGAAGUAGCGUUGCAGAAGACAAGUAUAUCAGUUCUUGUCUGUCUCAGUCCAUCUGGUGAAGCAUCAAGUGUGUGGGAGCACUUGGUCCAGAGCAAGGAGGUUCUUUACAGAAGAAUCAGCCUGAUGAGCACUGGUUUUCAUGUGCUUGCUUGUUUGCAUGCUUUGUGUUUUUCCAUUGGACCAACCAAUGGACUUGCAUGACUAGAAAUUCAGGCAAGCAAAUUCCAUAAGCAGCUUGACAGCUACGCAAGACUAAGAAGGCAAAGGCUACAGAGCAGAAGGCUCUUAAAAGCAAAGGCUUCUUAAAUGAAAUAUUGGUGGUCCUCAUCUCUUGUCUUCAGUUCUCAGUGACCCAGGGUUAGCAAGAGAAGUUGGUACAGCUAUUCCAUUCUCAUCUCCAGAGUAACCCAGCACAGGCCAGUGGGGGAAUAACCCUGGCUUUCUCGUCAUUCCUAGUGGUGGGUCAG